UCUGGUGGUGGGGCUGAGGCGGUCGUGAGGGGCUCGGUAUGGCUGGCAGCACCAAGUCUUUUCUGGCUGAUGCGGGCUACGGCGAGCAAGAGUUGGAUGCCAACUCCGCCCUGAUGGAGCUGGACAAAGGCCUCAGAUCUGGCAAGCUCGGGGAGCAGUGCGAAGCCGUCGUUCGUUUUCCCAGGCUCUUCCAGAAAUAUCCUUUCCCUAUUCUCAUUAAUUCAGCUUUCCUGAAGCUGGCUGAUGUUUUCAGAGUGGGAAACAACUUCCUGAGGCUGUGUGUACUAAAAGUUACGCAGCAGAGUGAGAAGCACUUGGAGAAGAUCCUGAACGUGGAUGAGUUUGUCAAAAGAGUUUUCUCAGUAAUUCACAGUAAUGAUCCAGUUGCUCGGGCUAUUACACUUCGGAUGUUGGGCAGCAUGGCAUCUAUUAUUCCAGAAAGGAAGAAUGCACAUCACAGUAUUCGUCAGAGUUUGGAUUCUCAUGAUAAUGUGGAAGUUGAAGCUGCUAUAUUUGCUGCUGCCAACUUUUCUGCACAGUCCAAGGAUUUUGCUGCUGGAAUAUGUAAUAAGAUCAGUGAGAUGAUCCAAGGUCUUGCCACACCUGUGGACUUAAAAUUGAAGUUGAUCCCUAUUCUGCAGCACAUGCAUCAUGAUGCUAGCCUGGCCUCCAGCUCCCGGCAGCUGCUUCAGCAGCUGGUAACAUCAUAUCCUUCUACCAAGAUGGUCAUUGUUACUCUGCACACCUUCACUCUGCUUGCUGCUUCUUCUUUGGUUGACAUUCCUAAGCAGAUCCAACUUCUGUUGCAGUACUUGCAGAAUGAUCCGAGGAAGGCUGUGAAGAGGCUUGCAGUCCAAGACUUGAAGCUAUUGGCCAAUAAGACACCACACACCUGGAGCAGAGAAAAUAUUCAGGCACUCUGUGAAUCUGCUCUUCACACUCCUUAUGACAGCUUGAAACUGGGCAUGCUAUCUGUUCUUUCCACAUUGUCGGGGACCAUUGCCAUUAAGCAGUACUUCAGCAGUGCUCCAGGAACGGCAGCUACACCUGCAAAAUCAUUUGAUUUGGUAAAACUAGCACAGGAAUGCUGUUACCAUAAUAACCGUGGCAUUGCAGCUCAUGGUGUGAGAAUUCUGACUAAUAUAUCAUCCUCUUGUCAGGACAAAGAUCUUCUGCCUUUGGAGCAAGAUGCAGUUUUUGGCUUAGAAGCUCUUCUUCUUCUUUGUAGUCAAGAUGACAGUCCAGGAGCUCAGGCAACCUUAAAGAUCACAUUAACUUGUAUGGUGAAGCUGGUCAAGUGCCGUCCUCACCUGAGCCAGUCAGUGGUUGAAUGCCUGCUGACCCAGCUGCACAGUGCCCAGGACACUGCUAGGAUUCUCAUGUGCCACUGCUUAGCAGCUAUUGCCAUGCAGCUGCCUGUCUUAGCAGAUGGCAUACUAGAAGACCUAAUGGACCUGUAUAAAUUAAUUGGACAAUCUGCUACAGACAAGAAACAGGAACUGCUGGUUUCUCUUGCCACAGUGAUAUUUGUUUCUAGUCAGAAAGCUUUAUCUUCAGAAAUCAAAACUGUUAUCAAACAGCAGCUUGAAAAUGCCUCCAAUGGAUGGACAGCCUACAGGAUAGCCAGGCAGGCUUCCAGAAUGGGCAACCAUGACAUGGCCAGAGAGCUGUAUCAAAGUCUGCUGACUCAAGUGGCAUCAGAACACUUCUACUUCUGGCUGAACAGCUUGAAGGAGUUCUCCCAUGCAGAGCAAUGCCUGACAGGUUUGCAGGAGGACAACUACAGUUCAGCCCUUUCUUGCAUUGCGGAAGCUUUAAAAUCCUAUCACAAAGGAAUAGCUUCACUGACGGCUGCUAGCACUCCACUUAAUCCUCUGAGCUUUCAAUGUGGAUUUGUGAAACUCAGGAUUGACCUUCUGCAAGCUUUUUCUCAACUUAUUUGUACCUGCAACAGCCUAAAAACAAGUCCACCACCAGCUAUUGCCACAACAAUUGCUAUGACAUCAGGAAACGAUCUGCAGAGGUGUGGGCGCAUCUCUAACCAGAUGAAGCACUCAAUGGAGGAGUUUCGAAACCUGGCUACACGGUAUGCUGAUCUGUAUCAAUCAUCUUUUGAUGCAGACUCAGCAACUCUAAGGAAUGUAGAACUACAGCAGCAGAGCUGCCUGUUGAUUUCACAUGCAAUUGAAGCUCUGAUUUUGGAUCCAGAAUCUGCGAAUUUCCAGGAAUAUAGCUCAAAUGGAACAGCACAUGUUGAGAGUGAAUAUGAAAGAAGAAUGUUGUCUGUUUUUAAUCAUGUACUGGAAGAAGUAGAAUCACUCAACAGGAAGUAUGCUCCGGUGUCUUACUUGCAUACAGCUUGUCUGUGCAAUGCUGUCAUUGCAUUGUUGAAGGUACCUCUUUCAUUUCAAAGAUACUUUUUUCAGAAGCUGCAGUCUACAAGUAUUAAGCUUGCUCUGUCUCCAUCUCCAAGGAACCCAACAGAACCUAUUGCAGUACAGAACAAUCAGCAAUUGGCCCUAAAGGUAGAAGGAGUGGUUCAGCACGGGUCUAAACCCGGCCUUUUCCGUAAAAUCCAAUCCGUCUGUCUAAAUGUCUCUUCGGUGCUGCAGAGCAAAUCUGGACAAGAUUAUAAGGAUAUUCUAGCCUGGUUUUGGAUUCCACGAGCACUGAUUUAUUUGCUAACUGCACUGAUGACUGUAUCUAUAUGUUCAGUAUGACAAGUUUAAAGACUGCUCCAGAUGGCUCUAUGGACCAACUGCCCACCUCAAAGCAAUGCUAUUGAAUUCCAGGGCAGCUUGGCUCUAUGUUAAUGGAGUUUCUAGUUCACCUCAACCUCCUGAUUCAAGCACCUUGGACAAGUGAAAGAUUUAAUUUCCCUCAGUAAAAUACUGCAAUUAGCCUCAAACCAGCACAACUUCUCUCAACAGAGGUCAGUGUUUCAGAUCAGAUACUCAUGUUCAGGUCUGUCUUUUAAUGAUGUGCAUGUGCUAAAUGGCAGAUGGGAAUGCUGAUGAUUCACUGAAUGUGUUUGUGUAUAUACGUAAACACUACUUCAGCAAUAAAACCAGCUACCAGGAUGGCUAUGGCAACUUAAAACUUGUUUUCAGUGAAGCUCGUUCUGUAGUAUAAACACAGUGAGCUUUUGCUGUGACAGGACAGAUGGGAGAGCCCUCUGUGAUGCCUGUCUAACCACGUGAAAUGUGCCUUUCUCCAUCUCUUGGGUUUUGUGCUUUCUGGGCACUGCCCAUAUAGCCAUGACUAAUAACAGUUGCAGCCUAGUAAUCUACUACCAGGUCAGCCACUGUUUCCCUAUGAUGUAAGGUAGAUGUUCUGAUUCAUGAGUUCUCAUCUUUGACAACUUACAUCCUGCUGGUAAAAAAUGAGAAUAUUGUUUUUGGGAAGAAAAGCUGCUAGGAGCUUGAUGCCUUCUUCCUGCUGUAAGGUUUAGAUUGGUUCCAGCAGCUUCAAGGCAGCUCAGGGAGAAGUUGGCAUUAGCCAUCUCAAAUGCUCUGCUAUGUCAAUUUUUUUAAGAAGACACUUGUACUCUCUUGAGUUCUUACUUUCAGCUACUUCAUCACAAUCAUGGCAGCCAUAAAUCAUGUUUUGCAUGAUGUCAUUCCUCACUUUUAUUUUUAGUACUUGACUCCAGGAACUGCAACUUGAAAA